GCCGGGCAUGGUGGUGCAUGCCUGUAAUCCCAGCUACUCAGGAGGCUGAGGCAGGAGAAUUGCUUGAACCCAGGAGAUGGAGGUUGCAGUGAGCCAAGAUUGCGCCACUGCACUCCAGCCUGGGUGACAGAGCAAGACUCCAUCUCAA
rnacentral:SRP_RNA from 1 species